CCGAAGUCGGACGUUUAACCGACUGAGCCACUCAGGCGCCCCUAUAAUAACGUAUUUCUUAUAAAAUAACAAAAAGGAACUUAUAGAUUGCAGCCAACACUGUGCUUAUAAUUAAAUUCGUACACUUAAAGGUUUCAUUAUAAAGUUUUUUUUUUUUUUAAAGCAAAGCAAAUAUACUAAACAAGUUAUCAAGAGGAGGGGGCCUUAAGGAAAUCUAUUCAUGAAUAAGGAGAUGUUAGAACAUACAUUAAAUAAUGGACAGGAAGCUCAAAAACCUCAAUGGUAUUUAUAUUAGUGAAAAACUAGAUGUAAUCUAAACAACAGAAAACUGUAUUGAUUUUAGUGAGAAUUUCCAGUUAGAUUUCUUCUGUGAUUAAAAAUCAUAUUUACACAUAUUUUAACGCAACGCUACAAAGUCUUUAAAUAAAAAGGUGGCAUAUAAAAUUUUAUACAUUAAGUAAUACCAACCGUGUGAAAACAAAAAGAGAAAACACUUAAACAUAGAAAAACCACAGUUACAUCUACAGGUUAAAACAUGGAUAACAUUUUUUAACAUUUUUCUAGAUUUUCCCUAUUUUGUAAAACGGGUAAUUCAUUACUUCGAUAAUCAAGGAGAAAAUCACACUAUUUUUAAACUGAGUGCCCAGUAUGAGAAUGCAGCUCUCACCUUUUCUUUUUUAAACUGAAGUAUAAAUGACAUAUAACAUUAUGUUGGUUUGAGGAGCACAACAACAAUUUGACAUUUGUACACAUUACAAAGUGAUCACCACAGUGAAGUCUCGUUAAACAUCCAUUACCACACACAGUGACAAAAUAUUUUUUCUUAUAAUGAAGACUUUUAAGAUCUACUCUCUUAGCAACUUUCAAAUAUGCAGUACAAUAUUAUUACCUACAGUUCACCAGGCUGUACAUUAAAUCUUCAGGACUUAUUUAUGACUGGAAGUUUAUAUUUUCUGACCCUCUUCACCCAUUUCAACCACCCUCCAACCCCCACUUCUGGCCACCACCAAGCUGUUCCUUGUAUCUAUGCAGCUCUCGCCAUUCAUAUUAACACUACUCAAGCUCCUACUUCUGCUUUAAGUACUAUUAAUUAUGCCUGGACAUUUAGGGGAAAAAUUGAGCUUGUUACUCAGAUUGUUAAAAACAGAAAACUGAACUUGAAUAAUUUACAGAACAAGAAACAUGUUAUUUUCAAGUUUGCUGAGAUCAGUGAUCAGUAACUGUCCUGUGCCUACUAAGUCAGUGCUACAUUUCAAACCACUCCCACUGAAACCCAGUUAAACCUACACAUCCCUCCAUGACACUGGCUCUCACAAAGAGCUACACGAUCAGGACUUCCCAUGUGACUCUUCAAUACAGCUUAUGGAGCUAUUUUUCCGUCAAGAUGCCAAAUGUAAAAAUAAGCCCAGCUAUUUGGAAGCUGUCAUGUUUUAUUCGAAACAUUAUGAUUUCCCUAUAAAUCUGUGAUUUCUAAAGUCUGAGGAGAUUUGAGGCAUUCAUUCUUAAAUGUAAUAUUGCCUGUAUCUUGGUGUCAUGGCUUUUCAUCUAGAUGAGUAUCUCUCUGCGUUUAUAAAGAAAAUAUAAAUGAAAAUCAAUUCAGUAUCCAAAAAUUCAGGUGACACGGAAUUUCGAGGAUGCGUCUAUUCUAUAAAGUAAGAUUAUGCCUUUUUGUUUUGGGUCUCUAUGAUGAAAGAAUUCUAGAACAGUAGUUAUCCUUGCCUCAUACACUAAUUGAAAGCACAGGGAUCUCUCAGAGGGUACUUUCUGUUUCUGCACCAGAGCUCCUCCAAAAACCGUCACAACGGCAGCAAAUUAAACCAGGGGAGCUUGAGAUGCCGGGGCAUUGUGAACAGGGCCAAGACUGUCCCAAGCUGACUUCAUGUGGUUUCUACCUCGCUAAAGAACGUUUCUGCUGAGCUUUCUACUCUUCAUUCACUCCAAUUAAACUGCAGUGAUUCACCAGUUAUUACCACCACAGGCAUACACGUGUUGAAGAGAAGAUCAUGAUUAUAAUCUGCACAAUUACCGACGGCUAGAUAGCAUGCCUACACACGGUGUUUUGAAAAACAGCUUCAUUUCCGAUGGAGAUCAGGACAGCAAUAAAAGAGUUCCACAGUCUCUUCACUAAAUACAUCUUUGUUUGCAUGGUCUGUGUAUACUGUCAUGGGGCAGGUGCGGGAAAA